CCUAAAACCCCCAAAUCCCCCUUCUGCCGCCACUCCUCCGCCGCGGCGGCACGGGCAGAGCCAGGGGCCGGGGCCCGGCCGGAGCCGGGGCUGCGAUGCCUCCCCGGCUGCCCGGCCGGCGCCAAGCAAAGGACACGCUUGUGCCAACGCUCCCGGCCCGGCAGCUCGGCUCCAGCCCGGGGAUCCCCGUCGGGCAUCGCGGGUACCUCCGGCAGCCAAAGAACCGAGACAGGCACCAGCGAGUGUGAUCACAGUGUGGGAGGUGAAGAAUAGCUGGUGUUUUACUGCAGGUUCCAGAGAAAAAUGCAAUUGUGACAAGCUCUGUUUUCAGCGGUGAUCAAGAAAUACAAGCUCAAGAGCAGAACCCCCUUGGACAAUGCUGCAAAGAGCAGCAUUGUCCAAGCAAUACCAGCCAUUGUGGGGAGGGAGAGGAGGGAAAAGAAAAAUGCCAUGCCUUUAUAAAUUGAAAAGCUUUUUUUCUCAAGGCUAAAACAAGAUUUCUGUUUAAGAUACUGGGAAAUCAGCCUCUAACCAGCACAGAGAACAAAGCUCCUUUAAGCACUGGUGAAACUGAGCCUACAGCCUUGUCUAAAAGGAGCCUGUGUUUCUUGCUCACAGCUCAAGUUCCCUGUUGCUGACUGUGCUCAGGGCUCCCCAGCCUCCCAGCUCCCUGCCCACCCCUGCUGCUGCCCCAGCAGGACACGGGGAAAAACCAUUUUUCCCCUCCCAUGGCUGCUGACAAAGGGCUGUGCCACAGGCGCUGUCUCAAGCCACGGGGGAAUGCCCUAACGGUGCACAGUCACGAGCUGAAACCUCUCCCUCAACCCUGUUACCCAUCACACCCCAGCCUCCAUCGCACCCUGUUCGCAGCCCCAGGCAGCCUCUCAGCCUCAAACCUGCUGCAUGAGCGGCUGCUGUGAGCAGCCCCCGGUCAGGCAUGGUCAGAGGGGACAGGAGCUCGGGAGGUGUAACCACAGUGGUGGGGCAGCACCGUGACUUGGAGCAGCUCACCAGCUACAGCCACUUCUAACACCCCUGUCAAACAGCUGCAGAGGAGGAGGCGAGACAGCAGCAGCCACAUCUCCAGAAUUCAUUCUCGGAACCACCGCAGGCAGCCGGUCUGGCCAGGAGAGCAGUGUCAGCCUGGAGCCUCAGGCACCCUUGGCAGGGGCCCCGUUUCAGAUCUGGGGCUGUGGGAUCAUAUUUGAAUGCCACCACCCCACCUUCUCUUUCAGCGCAGGGGCACGCAGCGCUCGCUGGGGACAGGAGAGUUCACGGCGAGCUGGGGAGCAGUCGAGAGGAGAGCAGGGAGCCCGGGAGUGUGGGGGCAGCACGGGAGAAACGCUGCCACGCACCUGCAGAGCACGGCCGACAGCAGCUGCCUCUCGCAGGAGCCCAGAGGAAGCUGUUACGCGCUGCUUGCAACCCGGACAUCACAGCUUGGCCUUUCUGAUAGAAUAUGGACUAGACAAGGGACUUUUCUCCCUUUAUAAAUAGCAACAGCAGAGUUAACUCAUGUUGAGGUGCACCAAGCCUUACUUCCUCAUCGACAUGCCUGGCUGAUCCUGGCAAAAAUCAGCAAAUUGUUACAGAAUGGCAGGAAGCAGCACUCUUUGGCAGAAUGCAUCUGGAAAUGCAGCCUUCCCUUGCAGGAAAAGCAUUAUAAGUAGUUUAAUGCUCUAAACAUGCAUUUAGGAUUCUUUUCCCUGAGAGAUGCCACUUAACAGGAAGACUUUUGCUACAAUUUCUUAGAAAACUGUACAGAACCCCAAAUGUGUUGAGUGACAACAUUUAUUAUUGCUUUAUAACUCUGCAAGAAAUGAGUAACCUACUACAGCAGUACAAAGCCUUAUAGAGGCACAAAGUUGUUUUAAAUUUGGUGUGGACAAACAUCGACUUUCCCUGUAAACACAGACUGAGUUGCUGUGGGUGUGAGCGGUGCUGCUGCAGCCUCCAGGGGAAGCCAAAGGCAAACACAGCUCCACAGAGAUAGCUGUGGGACAUGCAGUUCAUCCCAUGCCCCCUCUCCCAUUGCCCUUUGCAGAGGAACAAGUCUGUUAUCAGCCUUACCUGAUGAUUAAAUUCCUCAUUACUCACUGAGGCUGUAUCCCUGGAGAACACCACAGGAGAGAGCUGGGUGUUCUCAUGGUGCCCAGACAGAGCCCCCACGCUUCUGCCUCGUGCGGGAGCUCCCCAGGCUCCAUGGAAAACUCCUUUACCAGCUCCGAGCACACUGGGGCUGCAGCUGAGCCUCCCCUGCAUCUGCUAACUCAUGAAAGAGCCCCUGAGGUAAAGAGCCUGCAGCUGGCAGCAGCUCCUGGGGGAUGGGUUGGUUUUGCCCAGUAGCACUUCAAAAAAAAACUCCCACAACAAUGAACAAACAAAAAAUUAAUAAAGCCCUGUGUUUAUUCACAAUGAUCCUAAAAAUCUAAAAGCAAAUCCAAGGAGCUGUCCUUUUUGCUUAGGGCAGUUUGACUGGCUGGGGUCUUCCCAGUCACACAGAUUCACAAAAUUGGGCAUUGCACACAGAUUCAGAAAAUUCCAGCCCCAUGCCUAUAAACCUGGUACUGGAGAGCCCGUGCUGCUGUGAGAGUGCAGGCAGGGCAGUGCUGCCUGAGGGAAUUCAGCAGGAGCAGUUAUUUUCUUGUCGUGCCUCUUUUGGUAUGUGCAGAAGUGCAAAGCACCACUUAGAAACUCACCAGAGGCAAGGAAAUUUGCUCAACGUUAGUGUGAAAUGGUGAAGAAAUGAAGAGGGAGAAAAAAAUUCCGUUUGUAAAGGCAUAAGGGUAACUUAAUUCUUUGCCAUUUCCAUAGCACAGGUUACACUGUGCCACCCGCUUUUUCUCGUUCUUUCCAGAACUUGUAUCAGGCUGAGAAGACAGAGGCUGAACCCAGGCAAGAGGAGGAAUUGGUGGAGCAAUUCUGACUGCAUGGAACCUCCAAAGUGAGGUUUGUAACAGAAGCACUUCCACCAGAAGACAACUGCAACAGCCGAACUGAAACAGGAAGUUCAGGUAUAUAAACAGAAACUGCAGAAUUCCAGGCCAAGGCUUUAUCCAUUUGAACUGCUAUGGAUAUUUUCACAUGUGGGAGUGCAAAACCAGCUAAUGACACUGUUACAGGUCACUGUUACUGACACGGAGGUGUGAGCAGUUAAAGAGGGGACAACACACAGGGAACUUCUUGUUAUUUUCCAAAGGUGACUUCAUUGCAUCACUCCAAUAAGGACAGGUCAGCUGAAGUUCUCAUCCAGUAGAAUAUGAGAGAAAUCCCAGCUUUUGGAAGUACCUGUGCUUAUCCUUGCUCAUUUCCUUUUAAGUAAAACAUUAUUUCCAACUCAAUAUUCUGGACCUGCUUCAGUCCCAGGGUCUCUGAAGAAGGGUGGGUUUUUCUAUCUAAUAUUUUUCUGGCCGGUGACAUAGUGGGUGACAACAGAAGGCUGGGAUCCAUGUGAAAAGCCCUCUGCUAAUCCUGCUUUUUGCUUCAGCCCCUCCCUGCUGUGGCUGAGGGGCUCACCUCCCUGCACAGGCUGUCACCCGGGUGCCACCACACAGCUCCUCCACCCUGUGGCCGCAGUGUGACACAGACCUGUCCCAGCACCUGCAGCCAGGGCUGCCCUUGCCAAUCAACUCAGCAUCAGAGUCAUGAGCAAACACAGCACAGUAAAAAAGCCAUAAAUUUCUACAAUCAUUUUUAUUAGUUAUGGAAGAAUCCCCACUAGUAUUUACAUAGUGCAAAAAAGCUGUUAUUACUCCAAAAAGUACGGUAGACAGAACAGUUAUCCUUCAUACAGCAAAAAAGAAAUGGAACAAACCCCUUCAUAUUGUAUUUUAUAAUGGUUUUUCUACUGCUUCAACCUAAAUAUUACUAUAAAUUUUAAGACAUUAAAGAUUAAACAGCUUUCCUUAUUAGAAUCUAUUUAAAAAGUAAAUUAUAUGAACUAUUGAUGAACAUUUAGAACGUGGGCUGUGCCAACUGGGUUUCUACUUUCAGCAUUACCAUUCAUUGGUGAGGAAGUUUUGGGUUAGACAUUCUCAGGUUCCCGUGUGUGUGGCAGGGUGAACCCCGUUCCUGGUUUCUAUGGCUUGUUUCUGCUGGGUUUUGUUCUGUUAACAAACUGCCAUGUCUCAUUUUUAAAUGGCUGACACUGAAAU